AUAGGCAUUCCUGAUCGUACUGCUGCUGAAUUUUUUGUUCCUGAACCCAACCCGAAAUUUGUCAACAAGCUUUUCGUCAAUCAUCCCGACAGGUUUAGGCAAUAUGGAUUGUGGGAUAGGUACUCCGAGCUAUAUCCAGCGGAUGAUCUUGUGUAUGUAACUGGAGAAAGUGACUAUACCAAAGACUGGUUUUUCGCUCAGGUUCCAAGGAGAAAAGAGGACGGCUCAUAUCAAGGAACGACAUGGCAAAUCAGAUUUAAACUUGAUUCAGUCAAUCAAGGAGGCACGUAUAAAUUGCGUAUUGCAAUUGCAUCUGCAACUUUAGCUGAAGUACAGGUUCGGGUGAAUAAUCCAAGCACAAAUCGACCUGUAUUUUCAACCGGAUUGAUUGGAAGAGACAACUCAAUUGCUAGACACGGAAUUCACGGAUUAUAUUGGCUAUACAAUAUAGACAUACAGGGAAAUCUGUUAGUACAAGGGGACAACACCAUUUACUUAGGCCAACCAAGAAACCAAAGUCCUUUCCAGGGG
rnacentral:misc_RNA from 1 species